rnacentral:sRNA from 1 species
GCCGAGUGUGGUGGCACAUGCCUGUAAUCCCAGCGGCUUGGGAGGCUGAGACAGAAGGAUUGCAGGUUCAAAGCCAGCUUCAGCAACAGCGAGGCACUAAGCAACUCAGUAAGACCCUGUCUCUA